rnacentral:rRNA from 1 species
GAGUUUGAUCGUGGCUCAGAGUGAACGCUGGCGGCAGGCCUAACACAUGCAAGUCGAACGGCAGCACAGUAAGAGCUUGCUCUUAUGGGUGGCGAGUGGCGGACGGGUGAGGAAUACAUCGGAAUCUACCUUUUCGUGGGGGAUAACGUAGGGAAACUUACGCUAAUACCGCAUACGACCUCCGGGUGAAAGCAGGGGACCUUCGGGCCUUGCGCGAUUAGAUGAGCCGAUGUCCGAUUAGCUAGUUGGCGGGGUAAAGGCCCACCAAGGCGACGAUCGGUAGCUGGUCUGAGAGGAUGAUCAGCCACACUGGAACUGAGACACGGUCCAGACUCCUACGGGAGGCAGCAGUGGGGAAUAUUGGACAAUGGGCGCAAGCCUGAUCCAGCCAUGCCGCGUGGGUGAAGAAGGCCUUCGGUUG